rnacentral:tRNA from 1 species
GGUGAGGUGCCUGAGAGGCCGAAAGGAGCUCACUGCUAACGAGUCGUACGAGAGAUCGUACCGCGGGUUCGAAUCCCGCCCUCACCG